rnacentral:rRNA from 1 species
CUCCAGGUUAGGCAGGGUUACCCGCUAAAUUUAA